ACCUGGUUGAUCCUGCCAGUAGUCAUAUGCUUGUCUCAAAGAUUAACCCAUGCAUGUCUAAGUAUAAGCUAUUUAUACGGUGAAACUGCGAAUGGCUCAUUAAAUCAGUUACAAUUUAUUUGAUGGUUCCUCCUACUUGGAUACCUGUAGUAAUUCUAGAGCUAAUACAUGCACCGAGACCCGACUUCUGGAAGGGUUGUAUUUAUUAGAGCAAAAACCAACUCUGGGGCAACCCGGAUCCUUGGUGAUUCAUGAUAACUUGUCGGAUCGCAUGGCUUUAUGCCGGCGACGCUUCAUUCAAAUUUCUGCCCUAUCAACUUUCGAUGGUAGGAUAGGGGCCUACCAUGGUGGCAACGGGUAACGGAGAAUUAGGGUUCGAUUCCGGAGAGGGCGCCUGAGAGAUGGCGACCACAUCCAAGGACGGCAGCAGGGACGCAAAUUACCCAAUCGCAACUCGCGGAGGUAGUGACAAUAAAUAACAAUGCGGGGGCUAUCGCUCUCGCAAUUGGAAUGAGAACAAUUUAAAUCUCUUAUCGAGUAUCAAUUGGAGGGAAAGUCUGGUGCCAGCAGCCGCGGUAAUUCCAGCUCCAAUAGCGUAUAUUAAAGUUGUUGCAGUUAAAAAGCUCGUAGUUGGAUUUCGGGGCGGGACGAUCGGUCUGCCCUAUGGGUGUGCACUGGUCGCUCCCGUUCUUCCUUCCGCGUGCCCUGCCUGCUCUUUACUGGGCCGGGUUGGGGAGCACGGAUCCUUUACUUUGAGUAAAUUGGAGUGUUUCAAGCAGGCUGUCGCUCUGAACAUUAUUAGCAUGGAAUAAUAAAUUAGGACCUCGUUCCUAUUUUGUUGGUUUGUAGGGAUGGGGUAAUGGUUAAUAGGAUCAGUUGGGGGCAUUCAUAUUCCCUUGUCAGAGGUGAAAUUCUUGGAUUACGGGAAGAUGAACCACUGCGAAAGCAUUUGCCAAGGAUGUUUUCAUUAAUCAAGAACGAUAGUUGAGGGAUCGAAGACGAUCAGAUACCGUCGUAGUCUCAACCGUAAACGAUGCCGACUGCGGAUCAGCGGAUGUUACAUAUAUGACUCCGUUGGCACGCUGUGGGAAACCAAAGUUUUUGGGUUCCGGGGGGAGUAUGGUCGCAAGGCUGAAACUUAAAGGAAUUGACGGAAGGGCACCACCAGGAGUGGAGCCUGCGGCUUAAUUUGACUCAACACGGAGAAACUUACCAGACCAAGACAUCAUUGAGGAUUGACAGACGAGGAGGUUUUUCGAGAUAGGAUGGGAGGUGGUGCAUGGCCGUUCUUAGUUGGUGGAGUGAUUUGUCAGGUUAAUUCCGAUAACGAACGAGAUUUUAGUGGAAGAGACGUCUUGUCUUUCUUUGUUGAAAGAGAAGAUGGUUAUUUCAGAUGGAUAGGAAAAUAAACUAUAGGAAGAUUAAAGUGAUAACAGGUCUGUGAUGCCCUUAGAUGGUUUGGGCUGCACGCGUGCUACAAUGAUAGAGACAGAGAUCCACUUCUCAAUCAAACGAGAGGAUUGACGCAUCGAAGGAUGGGUUGAAAGGAUGGAGAAUCUAUUCAUGUUAGGGGAUUAACGAUUGGAAUUAUUCGUUAUGAACACGGAAUGCCUAGUAAGUAUAAGUCAACAGGUUAUAUUGAUUAGGUCCCUGCCUCUUGUACACACCGCCCGUCGCUGCUACCGAUUGAAUAGUAAAUGUGAAAUGGGAGGACUCGGCCAAGUCGUUCGUUUGUUUGAUUUGGAAGAGGAAAACUAUUGAAUGUUUAUAUUUAGAGGAAGCAAAAGUCGUAACAAGGUUUCCGUAGGUGAACCUGCGGAAGGAUCAAU
rnacentral:rRNA from 14 species